CGGCAAUAUGUUUCGUUUAAAGAUACUUUCAAGGAUUGCUUCAUUACUUCUUUAGGGUGCGAGUCGAGACGCUGAAGAGAGCCAACGGCUGGCAACCAUUUCUGGCAAGCGCAAUAAUUUUCUUUGGAACCUGGGCUUUUCCUACCUGGAACCAUACCUAAAACAAAGCUCCACUUGCCCCUUGAAGAUCAAUGACACAAUUAAGUGUAAAAAUUUGGAGGUGGAUUUUGAGCAAUUUCCUGCUCGUUUUCCAAUUGAGACUGGAGAAUAUGGCCUGAGACUAGGAUUUUAUUACAAUGGAGGUGUCACGGUCUCUAUUAAUGGUUCAGCGCAGUAUUCCAAUUACAGGGAACAUUAAAUCCGAAAUGAUGCAUGGAUUGAUCAUGAUUUUUUGAACAAAUAAAACUGUUUACUUUAUGGACCAUGAACACAUUAAGAAAACUAAGGAUACACUCGUAAAAUUAUUAAGAGAAUUUGGGAAAAACUAGCGUAUAACACUGUAAGUAAAAGAGAUAUUAAGGAAAGCACUGAAA